CCUACGGGUGGCAGCAGUGAGGAAUAUUGGUCAAUGGACGAGAGUCUGAACCAGCCAAGUAGCGUGAAGGAUGACUGCCCUAUGGGUUGUAAACUUCUUUUAUAUGGGAAUAAAAUGUUCCACGUGUGGGAUUUUGUAUGUACCAUAUGAAUAAGGAUCGGCUAACUCCGUGCCAGCAGCCGCGGUAAUACGGAGGAUCCGAGCGUUAUCCGGAUUUAUUGGGUUUAAAGGGAGCGUAGGUGGAUUGUUAAGUCAGUUGUGAAAGUUUGCGGCUCAACCGUAAAAUUGCAGUUGAAACUGGCAGUCUUGAGUACAGUAGAGGUGGGCGGAAUGCGUGGUGUAGCGGUGAAAUGCUUAGAUAUCACGAAGAACUCCGAUUGCGAAGGCAGUUCACUGGACUGCAACUGACACUGAGGCGCGAAAGUGUGGGUAUCAAACAGGAUUAGAUACCCGGGUAGUC
rnacentral:rRNA from 1 species